AGUGAACGCUGGCGGUAGGCCUAACACAUGCAAGUCGAACGGCAGCACAGUAAGAGCUUGCUCUUACGGGUGGCGAGUGGCGGACGGGUGAGGAAUACAUCGGAAUCUACUUUUUCGUGGGGGAUAACGUAGGGAAACUUACGCUAAUACCGCAUACGACCUACGGGUGAAAGCAGGGGAUCUUCGGACCUUGCGCGAUUGAAUGAGCCGAUGUCGGAUUAGCUAGUUGGCGGGGUAAAGGCCCACCAAGGCGACGAUCCGUAGCUGGUCUGAGAGGAUGAUCAGCCACACUGGAACUGAGACACGGUCCAGACUCCUACGGGAGGCAGCAGUGGGGAAUAUUGGACAAUGGGCGCAAGCCUGAUCCAGCCAUACCGCGUGGGUGAAGAAGGCCUUCGGGUUGUAAAGCCCUUUUGUUGGGAAAGAAAGGCAGCAGGUUAAUACCCCGCUGUUCUGACGGUACCCUAAGAAUAAGCACCGGCUAACUUCGUG
rnacentral:rRNA from 1 species